UUUUGAAAGAAUAAUAAUCCUCACCAUGCAUGCAUUUAUUUGAUUUUAUAAGUACAAUCAAUUUAAUGCAUCCUUGCUGAAUAAAAGUAUUCAUUAAAGUAUAAAAUAUAUAUAAAA